CAAUAAGUGUUUUAUGGCACUUUUUAAAUCCAUAUCCACCUUGUGUGCAAUGUCAGUCGAUCUUCUUCAUGGAGAUCGACCAAACAUCAACCUUUAUUUUUUAACUCUUUGUCUGAAAAAUAUUAUGAAUAAACAAUUCAAAAUA
rnacentral:misc_RNA from 1 species